UUCUGUCUAGCACUACCUUUUUCUCUUUUCACUUUCAUCCUGACCUACAGAUCAGGAUAAUCUUUAUAUUUUGUAUUACAGUCAGUGGCGUACGUCGGAUUUUGCACAAAAGCAUUAAUAUGGUCUAUUAUCACAAUUUGGCUUGCGUUAUAAUUGAAAUUAAGUUAGAGAUUGUGAUAAUUUGAGUCUUUAGUUACUGUUACAAAUUGAUAUUUACUUUGUAAUAUUCAAAUGCGACGUCAACCUAUUAUUUACAUACAUCCAUAUAUAUUUAUUUUUUGAGAAAAUGUUGUUUAUGCACAUAUAAAAAAAAAUCUUAGCAAAGUGGUGUCGCAUGACACCUCUCCUCCACUUGUUGAGAUCCAAUUCCAAAAGACUACGAAUCUUUUACGAUUCGAAAAUCAAGUCGGAGACUACCACACAUAUACAAGAAAUACCUCAACAAGUGGUGGACAUGGAAGAGAUUGUUUUGCAAAUGCCAUUCGUUUUCCAAGCUAUAAAUAGGAGAAUUCGACCAUAUCUUGCAACGACCUGAGUUGCCUUUGACGUGUAUAGGCUCAUAUCUCAAAGCUAGGGUAAGUUCAAAACACUUCUUCACUACCAAUAUGGUUGUUCUAAUGAGUGCCAGCAAGAAGAAGGUAUCAACUGAUUGCCCCAAGUUUUUGGCUACGGAAGCUAAGUUGGGAUCGUCUAUAUGUAUCUACAGAGGAUGUGAAGGUGAUGACGAUGACGAUGACGAUGAUGAUGAUGCUUCAAAGGUGGCACCAGCUGCAUGAUAUUGUAAUGGUAUUUCCUACAACAACACAUAGUAAUACAUAUACCUAAAGCGAAUUAACAAUGUUGACAUCUAAAAGAGAGAGACAUGUAGUGAAGUGAGUUACGUCUGUAGAGAAGGAAGAGAGCAAUGCAUGAGAGAUAUCUUCUUGUUUUCUACUUACAGUACUAAUUGGGUGGUAAACCUCGUAUGUUGUAAUGAUUUCUUUUUAUAUUCUAUAUUUAUAACUAGGCAAUCAUGAAGGAAGCAAUAUUCCAAAUUUAGUGGAGGCAUCAGGCAUGCUUCGCUUCGGUAGCUAGGCUUUUUUGAACUCAUAUUUAUACUUCGAACUUCAAGACAAUGGCCUAAAGUCUCGCUAUGGCAGUUCAAACUAAGGGCUAUUAGUGUGAAGUUCGAAUUACAAUUUUUAGAGUUCAGAAUUUAAUGUGUCUUUUCUACAUGAUACAACUCUUUGUUAAAAGAUGCAUCCAAUCUUUAGGACACAUCUGCAUGCAACGAUAUAUCCAAUCAUUACAAUAGAAUGCGUCUCUUUAUUUAAAGGUAAGUUAUAUUUCACUCCCUGUAAAAUAUAAAUAUACUCAUUCCAUCUGCAGAAAAAUAAUCACUUGAGAUCUACUCCUUCUGGUUCACCAUCUUUUCACAAUCUUCGAGUGUCCCUUUCUAUCUACUCUAAAUUACUACAUACGCAAUUGAUAGAUUAAAGAGUUACGUAUUCAGAACUUCUAUUUGGAAGUAGAACUUUUUAUUUCCUGGAUAGCACGGAGAUCUACUCCACAGACAGCAUCUUUCCGGAGCGUCCCUCGAAUCAAUUUUCCCUACCCAAAGUUUUAUCUCUUCUUUUAUUUUUAACUAUCAUCUCCUGUUUGUUGAUAAACUGUUCUUCUCAGUGUUUUCAUUUCUUAUAAUUUUCAACAGGAUUAUGAAGUCAUUUGUAAGAGAUGGUUGUUCAUCGUGUUGGACGAAUCUUAAUAUAUCUGAACCGUAGUACUGCGUGCUAUACAUGCUUUAUUUUCAUUUCAAGAAACAAAUACAUGGGCAAGGUAGAAAAAGAUAGGGUUAGGCCAACCAUAAAACUCCUAAAAACAUCAAACUCAAAACAGGAUUGGAAAUAAUAUUGAGUUAUUCCAUUGUACCCAUUGGUACUCAUACAACCAUGAAUUGAAAAGACUGUACCAAAACUCCUAAAAAACAACCCCCGCUUGAACUGAAGUCUUAUAUAUUUGGAUAAGGAGAAGUCAAGAAGCUCCCUAUCCUUCUCAAAUUCAGUCAUUAAUUACUUGUUCCUCUAACGAUACGAUUGCUUCUAUUCCAUCCCCACUUUUACAAUCCAUCAAAACAAAUGAGUUCGGUACAAGUGGCCUCCCCCAAUUAAAGUUCACACUGUACGUCGGGUAGUUACAAAAACGGCUUGUCCAAAAUAUGUCAAAUUCAUUAGCAUUGGAUGGCCUAUUUUGAUGCUUAUCGAAAUUCACUAGUGCUGUCAUCAAUAGCUCAUUCUCUUUAACUCGAUCUUUUCCCCGAGUAUUUCCUGUUGCUUCCUCAACCCUCGAACCAUGCUUCGAAGAUUCAUGUUUUCUCUCGCGGUUAGUGAUGUUUUAUACUUCAAUACCACACAAGAGGGGGUAAUUUGUGUGGUGCCUGAUUUUCGCGUGCACUAGAUUAUCGAAGGACCUGGUUCUUCUACGCGCUCCUUACACUACACUUGCGGAAUACAUAAUACAGAAAGUAAAGAAAACAAGGAUUUUUACGUGAAAAACACCCGGCUCAAAAAGUAAAAAAACACGACCUACUACCUAGUAGGAUUUUUUCCAAACACUUCACUACAACUCUGAGCCAACAACAAAGUUUACAAACUCUUGCAAACCUAAGGACUACCUCUAACCCUUGUAGCAACCAGCCACAGGUUGUUGCGACUACUUCAAGUUAACUCUAACUUGAACAAUACAACUAGAGUUUACAACCUCUUGCAAACCGAAGGAUUAACUCUAACCAUUAUAGCAACACGCCACAGGCUGUUGCAACAACUUCAAGUUGCCUCUAACUUGAAAGAUACAACUCAGGUACCUAGUACAAUUUGCUUCUUAGAAAGCUGAAAGGUACAACUCAAAACGCCUACUACACUUUGUAUUAGAAAUAAAAAAAGACACAUAAAACUCUUUAUGGAACUAGUUCUUCAAUCUGGUUCGUGUAGCUUCAGGAUCGCACUCUUAAACCUCACAGGAAUUGCUCACAAAAUGCCUUGCUAUUUUGCUAUCAAUUUGUGCUUAAUUUCAGUAUGUAUGCAUCACCUGUAAAAGAGAACACAAUUGAUAUAUAUAUAGUUAUUAAAUAAAGAUUAACCAGAAGUCUAAUGCUUUACUCUUCCUUGGUGGAAGAGUUCUAGUUAUCUUCAACUUCUAACUCUUUCCUUAUCUUGGAUAGAGUUCUCUUCAAGUAAGGAGUCCUUCUCCUUAUCAAAUAUGCAACUAUUUCGGUGAGGGAUUACCAUAAAUAACCACUUAUACUUAUCCCUUUCACGUGUAUGCCUUUUGCUUGAUUCUUCCCAUCACAUGUGUACACUGUCCCUGGACCUGGUUCAUGCAUGUGUUCCUUUGUCAAUCAUCAAAACCAAAACUGCUCAGGUCAACAAAUUCCUCCUUUUUGAUAAUGACAAACUCAGUGCUUUUCAUAAGCAUGAAACCUGCUUCAACUCAGCUCAACAUCAACACAAUGUUAGAACAUUUUACCUUUUUAAAGUCCCUUAUCAUCAAGGACCGGGUUCAUUAGGUUAUAAACAUCACAGUCCAAAGUAAAAGCACAAUCUAAUUCCCCAUUUUGGCAUCAUCGAAAAGUUGCAUAAUAAAGGUAAGUAACCAGAUUUUAGCAGAUAUCACUCAUGGCCACUGGGGCUACUUCAAAUACAAUCAUGGAUUCAAUUUUCUAUUUAUCAAUCUAAGGAUAUUAUCCAUCUAAGAAAUAUCAACAAACAACUAGAGCAAAAGCAGUGAAUUCCAUUGAUUGAUAAGAUCAAACCACAAAGCAUAAGAAGAAACAAAAACAUAGAACCAUGAACAAAAGACAAAGAAAUCUCACUUGGGUUACUGGUUACAACUAGGCUAGGAAAGAUUUAGGACUGGGAAGGACCUGGUUCUUGGUUCUUGGCUCGAAGCAGUUUCAGCAUAACUUGAAGAAUACCAUCAUUCUUCUCUUUUUACUUUGCAAGCUCACACUUGAGAUAGUCUCUCUCAGCCUCUACUUCAGCCAACCUAGUCUUCAAUCGUUAAAUCUCAAUAUCCUUAAUCAUUUUCUUCCACUAUUUGAGCCUUCUUUCUCCUUUUAGCAGACCUAGUUCUUUUAGACACAAUUGAACCCUCAGCCUCAGCCUCAGCCUCAGCCUCUGUUUCUCGAGAAUUCUUUUGAGAAGUCUCUCUUUUUGGCACUAGGUGUGGGUAUUUCCACAUCCUCAUAUUCAUCUUCAAGAACCAGGUUCAUCUCCUCAAUCUGGACUACUCCACUUGGCUUACCAGCCCUUUUUAUAAGCGACCUUCUUGGCAUUCUCAGCUAAGGCCUUUUUUACAUUGGCCUCACUCUGCGUCUUACGUCUCCUUGUAGUUCUUCCUCUUGUGAGAGGAGUUGUUACAGGGAUAGAAGGAGCACUCUUUCUCUUAGUGCCACCCAUGCUAUUUCCUGCAGUCUUUCCAACUUUGUUCUUCUUCUUUUUGAUUGUAACUAUCUAACACCUUUUGCAACAGAUCAGGACUCUUGUCUAUUUUAGCAAGAGAAGGAACUGGUUCAUGAAAUUGUUUCCUUAACCUAACCACCCCAUAUGCUGCACUUCUAUCACCAGAACCAUCACCUAUCUCCUGUGAUUCUAUCCCCGUACUUUCAUUCAUAGUCUCUUCAAUAUCACUAAUCUCAUCACUUAAUACAAUCAUUGCUCCAGCUUCUUCAGUCAAACCAACAAGAGUGGGUGAAGGAGAUCUAGCCACUCUUUCAUCUCUUUUUCCCCUCAUAUCUACUUCAACACCCUCACUCUUUUUUUUACCACUAAUUUUUACAGACCUACUAGUUUCUACACCGGUAAUCGAACCAACCAACACAAACCUAUUUUCGAGACUCUCAGCAAUUUCAAAAGAAAUAGCAAAAGUUUUUAAUCUAGAGGUUAGCCGUUCAGUUUCAGAUGAAACUGGUUAUUCCCCCUCAGUCAUAGACAUAAAGGACUCAUCAGAUUGUUAGGGUUCUUCUGCUUGACUGGCUUGUAGCACCUCACUCUAUUUCUUAGCUUAUUCUCUACUUGCCACAGUGUUGCAUGCAAUAAUUUUGAUAUGAUUUUUCUUGGGGGUUUGGGUGGUUGAAAGUGUGGGUGAUGGUUCUUUGGGUGUUGAGGAAGGCAUUUCAUAGUUUUUGGGAUUCUCAUAAGUGUUUUCCAUUUGAUCAGUACAGAAACUUGAGAGAAAUAGAGAGAGUUUUGAGGUUUUGGAAAUUUUAAUCUUUCAAAACAAAUUUGAGAUAAGAGGGUAAGGUCAGAUCAAUUUAAAGAGGGAAAGCUUGAGUGUAUAACAACACCUUUUUAAAGUCUAGAAGUCUAAUCACAUUGGAAUUUUUAGUUCAUGAUCCAUAUGAAGUUAUUUCAAAUUAUACCGAGUGUAGAAUACAUACCUUAUAAUCUCGAUGAACCAGGUUCUUCACUGAAAGUUCUCUUGUGUAGGAAUUAUUUUUUCCAAGAAAAUAAGGAUAAUAUCAUUAGACAUCAAUGAGACAUUUUAGCACAUGGCACAAGAGUAUACAAAUAAAAGCAUGAGACUAAGCAAUAUCUAAUCUAAUUAUUCACAAAAUUCAUAAAUUAUCUAACCAGUCAUUGAGUUUGGAGAAAAUCCUAUUGGGUAGUAGGUCGUGGUUUUUUCACCUUUUGAGCCAGGUGUUUUUCACGUUACUAUCCUUGUGUUCUUUACUUUCUGCAUUAUUUAUUCCGCAACUAUAGUGUAAGGAACGCAUAGAAGAACCAUGUCCUUCGAUAAUUGGUAUCAGAGCGGGUUAUCCUUGAAGAGGCUAAUACCUUAGGAAAGUAUCAAGAUGAGUGCACUACCUGGAAACUGUAAAGAGUAAUCUACCACUAGGCCACCACUAUUCAAUGAUCACUACUAUUCUUUAGGGAAGGAUAGGAGAAGAGAUCACUUGCAGAUGACUGAUGGGUGCUUCAUAUGUGGUAAAAAGAACCACAUGAUCAAGAACUGUCCUACGUGGGAUGUCGACUGGAAGAAGGAGAAAUCUAAAAGAAGGAACAGAAAGAAGGAACAUGUUCAUGACAAGAAGAACUACAACAAAAGGUCAUCCAAAGCAGUGGUUGCUACUUGGAAAGAUAAUUCAGAUGAGGAAACUAAUGAUAAUGCUAAACAAACUCUUAUAGCAAUACGAGAAUCUGAAGAUGAACCUGAUGAAGAAUCUGAGAUAAGUUUUCUGGACUUUAAGGAUAAAAUUAAAAUCCUUUCUAAAGAGAGACUAUCAGAAUUGUUGCUAACUUUAAUUGAUGAAUCUAAGAAUAUAAGUUCUGAAAAAGAACAGUUGUCAAAAGAGUGUAACUUUUUAAAAGGAGAAUGCAAAAACCUUGAAAUAAACGUUUGUAAAACUGAAAAGGAAAAUACUGCUUUGAAGAACCAGGUUCAUGAACUUGAUACAACUGUCUUGGAAAUUAGAUAUGAAAAUAUAAAGUUAAAGUUAGGGAUAGGAAAAGAGAUAGCAAGUGAUAUACAACUCAACCGAGGAUGACUUAAGGAAGUUUAAAGAUGAGCUAUACAAAAAGGAAGAAAAUGUAAGAGUUUUGAAAGAGGACUUAACAAAGGUAAAACAUGAGCUUGAUAGAACAUGUAAAUGGAACAGGUCAUCCAAUGCACUUUCAUUGCUACAAGAACACCCUAGUAGAAACAAAAACGGACUUAGCUUUGGGAACUUUGAAACUGAAUGGGAUCCUAAAAAUAGGUACCUAACACUCCCUAAGAAUAAGAUUUUCACACACUGUGGAAAUACUGGUCACUACAAGAGUGAUUGCACUGCGAAAGAAAAGGUAGAUCAAAAGAACAAAAAAUUUGUUCUAGGGAAAAAUAGGCUGCCAAGUUGGGCUAAAAGGAAUUUGAUUCAUCCUUUUGACUAUACAAAGGGACCAAACUAGUUUGGGUUCCUAAGACUAACCCCUGGUUUCUUUUUCCAGGUCCAAGUGAAGGGGAUCAGUCAAAUAUAGUACAUGGAUAGUGGCUGCUCAAAGUAUAUGACAGAAAGCAAGAACCAGUUCCUUUCACUUAAGGACCUUAAAGGAGGUAAUAUCUCCUUUGGAAAUGGGAAAAAGGUGAGAUCAUUGGGGUUGGAAAGGUAGGUAAGACUGACUUGAUAGAUGGACUGAAGCAUAGUCUAAUAAGUGUAUCAUAAUUGUAUAAUAGAGGUAACAUGGUAGCAUUCACAUCUACCAAAUGCUUUGUGAUUAAUCUUACCACUGACAAGAUAGUUUUGCAGGAAAAAAGAGUGAACAACAUAUAUGUUGUAGAUCUAUCCACACUUUCAGAAAAUGAACCCACUUGCUUAAGUGUGUUGGAUAGUGAUCCCCUCCUUUGGCAUAAGAGACUUGGACAUGUUAGUCUAAGUCAACUCAACAAACUAGUCUCCAAGGACUUGGUGAUAGGACUGCCUAACAUUAAGUCUAAGGAAGAUAUAGUUUGUGACGCUUGUGGAAGAGGGAAGCAUGUAAGAUCUUCUUUCAAAAGUAAGAAAAUGGUGAGUACUACCAGGUCGAUGGAACUGGUCCAUAUGGAUCUGUAUGGACCAAUGAGGACAAUGAGCAGAGAUGGNNNNNNNNNNNNNNNNNNNNNNNNNNNNNNNNNNNNNNNNNNNNNNNNNNNNNNNNNNNNNNNNNNNNNNNNNNNNNNNNNNNNNNNNNNNNNNNNNNNNNNNNNNNNNNNNNNNNNNNNNNNNNNNNNNNNNNNNNNNNNNNNNNNNNNNNNNNNNNNNNNNNNNNNNNNNNNNNNNNNNNNNNNNNNNNNNNNNNNNNNNNNNNNNNNNNNNNNNNNNNNNNNNNNNNNNNNNNNNNNNNNNNNNNNNNNNNNNNNNNNNNNNNNNNNNNNNNNNNNNNNNNNNNNNNNNNNNNNNNNNNNNNNNNNNNNNNNNNNNNNNNNNNNNNNNNNNNNNNNNNNNNNNNNNNNNNNNNNNNNNNNNNNNNNNNNNNNNNNNNNNNNNNNNNNNNNNNNNNNNNNNNNNNNNNNNNNNNNNNNNNNNNNNNNNNNNNNNNNNNNNNNNNNNNNNNNNNNNNNNNNNNNNNNNNNNNNNNNNNNNNNNNNNNNNNNNNNNNNNNNNNNNNNNNNNNNNNNNNNNNNNNNNNNNNNNNNNNNNNNNNNNNNNNNNNNNNNNNNNNNNNNNNNNNNNNNNNNNNNNNNNNNNNNNNNNNNNNNNNNNNNNNNNNNNNNNNNNNNNNNNNNNNNNNNNNNNNNNNNNNNNNNNNNNNNNNNNNNNNNNNNNNNNNNNNNNNNNNNNNNNNNNNNNNNNNNNNNNNNNNNNNNNNNNNNNNNNNNNNNNNNNNNNNNNNNNNNNNNNNNNNNNNNNNNNNNNNNNNNNNNNNNNNNNCAAUAGCUAUCUAAAGGAAGAAGUGUUUGUCAAGCAACCUCUGGGCUUUGAAAGCAAGGAAUGUCUUGAUCAUGUGUGCAAGCUUGAGAAGGAACUUUAUGGGCUCAAGCAGGCUCCAAUAGCAUGGUAUGAAAGUUUAUCAAAAUUUCUUCUUGCGCAUGGAUACAAGAGAGGUAAAAUUAACAAUACUUUGUUCAUGAAAGAAAAAGAUAAAGAUCUGUUAGUAGUUCAGAUAUAUAUUUAUGAUAUAAUCUUUGGAGUAACUACUGAUAAGUUAAGUAAGGAAUUUGCUAAACUAAUGGGGAGUGAAUUUGAAAUUAGUAUGAUGGGUGAGCUUAAUUUAUUUUUAGGCUUACAAAUUAAACAAAAUUCAAAUGUAACUACGGUCCAUCAGCAGAAGUAUGCAAAAGAGUUGCUUUAAAAAGUUUAAAAUAGAAGAUUCUAAAGAAAUUGACACUCCUAUAGCAACAGCCACAAAAUUGGAUGUGGAUGAACCUGGUUCAUCUAUUGAUUAGAAGUUGUAUAGGGGAAUGAUUGGCUCCUUGUUAUAUCUUACUACUAGCAGACAUGACAUUGAUUUUAGUGUAGGACUUUGUGCUAGAUUUCAAGCAAAUCCCAAGGUGUCGCACUUGACUGUUGUCAAGAGGAUCUUGAGAUACCUAAAAGGCACCACUGACCACUGUCUAUGGUAUUCAAAGGCUGUAUCCCCAUAUUUGUGAUAACACUAGUGCAACUAGUAUGACCAGAACCAGUCCAUCACAAAAGAACUAAGAAUAUAGAUGUUGGGCAUCGUUUUCAUAGGGAUAAUUUUGAGAUAUGUUGAUCACUGUGGAAUUUUAGGCUACUGAUAAGGAAAUUGCUGAUUGAGAGCGAAAAUGAAAUACAACAUACAUUUUGCGAAAAAUUUCCUGUCUUCCAAUGGUGGUUGAGCCUGCUAUGUAUAGCUUUACUUAGGUAAACAAGAUCCUAGGAUCAAGCCCCAUUUAAAUGAUAAUAAAAGAUCCAUUGAUGAAUAUGUAACGGCGGUCCAUGAAUGAAAAUAUUCUCUAUAAUGUCUGCCCAUUUAAUCUUAGAGAAUAUUCUUCAUUGAAUGUUAUUCGAUGGAAAAUAUUCGAUCUGUUCCCGUUGACCAUGCUCCCUUCGUGGUUUAUCUGAUGUCAAUGCAGUUGUUGUUCCUGGUACUGGCUGUUACCUGAUUCGUCUUUUACCUGUCUUUGGUUCCACGUGUCAUGCUAUCAUUCGAUCAUUUAUUAUGAACUAAUUUUACCAUGUACAGAUAGCCCCCCUUCUUUCCAUUGACAUAUCUUUAUUUCACCGAGAAGUUGGUGAAGAUUCCUUUCUUGGUGAGAAAUCUCUUGAAAAGUCUAUGACACUUGAAAGGAUGCACGCCUUCUCGCAUUUAAUACCCUGAACAUGUGUUGCCCCACGAUUGAGUAAUAUUUUCACCGAUUUUUUAGGUAAUCAUGGUCAUGAUUUUUGUCGUAUAUAUCUUCACUUCUACUUAUUACUUUACUUCUUUACUUUCAAAAUUAGUUUUUAUAAACCUUUCUUCUUCUCUGCACUUACAAUGCAUUUGCUUAGAAUCUUUUUCAUCUCCUUCAACGCCCUAGCAAAAAGUUUUACUAUAUUUUUACUACCAUGGCUUCGUCUACUGCAUCCUCCAGAAACUCUGGCAUUUUAUUCGGUAGAGGCCCUAAGAGAAAUAAGGACCUUGAUGCCGAUUUUAAGCCUCCCACUAUAAACACCAUAAUACCAAAACACCUUAGUAUUGCUAAUGACUUCCAAGAGAAUGCCCUAUCUGCGUCCCACGGACUUGGGCCGUUAGUAGGUACCCAAAUUGAAUCAUGCUUCUGAAAUGGGCGAGGUAAACCUAUUAUGAAGUCCAUGUUUAUUAUCUCCCAUUUCCAAACGGGAAUUUCUAUUCUCUAAUCCUAACCACCAGGCCUCUAGUGUUCGGCUUUCACCUACUGACAAUUUGGAAACAUAGCCACAAAAUCUGCUACAUUCUUUUUUGUAUCAUUCCACCAUUAGAUCUCCUUAAGAUUAUGAUACAUCUUCGUGGAACCUGGGUUGCAACGACCCGACCGGUCAUUUUGAGCUCUAGAAUGUCAUUCAGUGGUUUGAGAUACUGAGUAGCUUCACUUAAGGUAUUAUGAAUUGUACGCAUGGUCGGAAUUUAAUUUCGGGAAGUUCGAAGUUGAUUUGAAAAGAAAAUUCUAAUUUCGGAAGCCUUAAGUUCGAGGAAUUGACUAAAGUGUGAUUUUUGAGUAGACGACCUUGGAAUCAGAAUUUGAAGGUUCCAACAGGUUCGUAUAAUGAUUUUGGACUUAGGCAUAUGCCCGGGAGCGUUUCAGCGCCUAUUAUGGAAGUUGGCAUUUUUGGAAGAAUUUCCUAAAUUUGGGUUGAAGUGCAUUUCAAUGUUAUUGAUGUCCGUUUGGGAUUCCGAGUCUGGAAAUAGCUCAGUAUGGUGAUUCUGGUAUUGGGAGCGCGUCCGGAUAUGAAUAUGCAGGUCCGUAGGUUAGUUUGGGGUCAUUUGGAGAAAGUUAGAUAUUUGAAGGUUUUUGCGAAGUUUGACCGGGAGUGGACCUUUUGAUAUCAGGGUUGGAUUCUGAUUCUGGAAGUUGGAGUAGGUCCGUAAUGUCGAAAGUGAAUUGUGUGCAAAAUUUGAGGUCAAUCGGACGUGAUUUUAUAGGUUUCGGCAUCGAUUGUAAAAAUUUGAAGUUUCAAAGCUCAUUAAGCUUGAAUUGGGGUGCGAUUCACGAUUCCGAUGAUGUUUGAUAUGAUUUGAGGCUUCGAGCAAGUCCGUGUUAUGUUAUUGGACUGAUUGGUGUGAUUGGAUGGGGUCAUGGGGGCCUCGGGUGGGUUUCGGAUGCUUAACAGAUCGAUUUUUGGACUAAGGAAAAUGCUAAGGCAGCAGGUAUCUGGUGUAACCGCACCUGCGAGGUUUUGGACGUAGGUGCAGGGCCGCAGAAGCGACCAAGAGGGUCGCAGAAGCGGUUCUGGCUGGGGAAGUCUGGGACCGCAGAUGCUGUCGAGUUCCGCAGAACCAAGACUGCACCUGCGCACGAAAAGGCGCAGAAGCGCUGCCAGGCCGCAGAAGCGCUGCCACGCCGCAGAUGCGGGAAAUGUUGGGCUGAGCUUGAACUGCUUCCGCAGGUGCGGAGCCGCAGAAGCGGCUAUUGCACCGCAGGUGCGAGGAUCACUGGGCAGUGAGGUUUUACAAAACGGGGUUUUGGCUCAUUUUCACUUCAUUUCGUCUAUGGGAGCCGAUUUUGGUGCACUUUUGGAGUGCCAUCUUCAUCAACUAUAAUGGGGUAAGUGAUUGCUUCACAUUGUGAGUUAAAUACAUGGUUUUUACAUGGAUUCAAGCAUAAAAAAUUGUAGAAAUUUGGGAUUUUGAAGAAAAACCUAGAAAUUGGUAUUAUUGGAUUUUGAUCACGAAUUUGGGCAUGAAAUUGAGAAUAAAUUAUAUAUUGGAGUUCGUAGUGCUAUGGGUAGUGUUUGUUUUCAAAAAGUUUUGGUAUCGGGCACGUGGGCCCGAGGGUUGCUUUAUCAAUUUUUUAAGGGAAUUGGAAGUUGAUAUAAAUUUAUUAAUUAUGAAUAUUAGAGUAUAUUUUGAUUGGGCUGCAUCUUAAUUGACUAGUUUUGGAUCGGCGGGCAUCGGUUUGAGGUGUCAGAGAGGCUUUGGAGCCGGUUAUGGAAUUUUGGAGCGAGGUAUGUCUCUUGUCUAACUCUGUGAGGGGGAAAUUACUCCUAGUUAUUGUAUAUGGAUGUGCUAUACUUGUUGUGGGGGCUACGUACGCGCGAGGUGACGAGAGCCUGUAGGCUUAGGUUAGGUUCACAUCAUGCUAUUGUCCGAGUAGGCUUAGGUUCACAUCAUGCUAUAGCUGUAUUAUUUUAGCAGUCUCNNNNNNNNNNNNNNNNNNNNNNNNNCACUUGCUGCAUAUUUUUUUGUGCAGGCACAUAUAUGGCUAGAGGCCAUGUGAGAGAAGAGGCGUGUAUUUACAUUUUUUUUUCCUAUCCAAUUUGUUCUCCGGACAACUGCUGUAUUUUAUUUUAUAUUCCUAGUUAAUGCUCAUGCACUUGUGACACCGGAUUUUGAGAUGAUUAUGGAUUGUUCUAUAUUGAAUUUGUUAAAAGUAUUAUUAUUUACUCUGUAAAUCCCCAUUCUUUACUAUUUAAAUUAAAAAAAAAAUAUGAUUUCAAAAUAAUAAAAUGAGAACCCAAUUAAGUAAUUAUUGUUGGCUUUCCUGACAGUGGUGUCCGGCGCCAUCACGACCUUUAUGAAUUUUGGCUCGUGACAUGGGUGAAUAGAAUACCUGGAAUUUCGGUCUUCUGACAUAAUCUGCUCUCUAAGCCCAUCUACGUCUGGAACGCAUAGUCUGCCUCUAUACCUCAAAGUACCAUCAUCUCCCCCUUGUUCAAAAGUCGUAGUCUUGUGUUUGUGAAUCCCUUCCGUCUGCUACAAUAAGUAGGGAUCACUGAACUGUUUUUCCUUCACUUCGGCUAAUAAGGAGGAUUCAACCCUUUUCUGAAAAACAACGCCACCAUCUUCGAAGACCAGAAGUCAAACUCCUAGACUUGCUAAGAAGUGGACUUCCUUUGUCAUCGUUCUCUAGUUUGCUUCAACAUGAGCUAAGCUUCCCAUAGAAUGCCGAUAAAGAGCAUCGGCUACAGGAUUUGCUUUCCCCGGAUGAUAGAGGAUAUAAACAUCGUAAUCCUUGUGCAAUUUGAGCCACCUUCUCUGACGAAGAUCCAAUUCUCUUUGCUUGAAGAUGUACUGGAGACCCUUGUGAUCUAUGAAACUAUCAACAUGCACUCCAUACAAAUAAUGGUGCCAGAUCUUUAGCGCAAAUACCACAACUGCUAACUCAAGAUCACGAGUCGAAUAAUUCUUCUCGUGAGCCUUGAGCAAUCUCGAUACGUAGGCUAUGACUUUACCGUGCUGCAAUAAUACGCACCCAAGACCAACCCCUAAAGCAUCACAAUAAAUAACGAACCCUUCGGUUCCUUCCAGUAGUGUCAAGACUGGAGCUGAAGUCAACUGCUUCUUCACUCCUCAAAACUCUUCUCGCAAGCGUCUGACCACUGAAACUUGACUUUCUUUUGAGUCAGCCUAGUCAAAGGGGACGAGAUAAAGCAAAAUCCCUCUAUGAAAUGCAUGUAAUAGCCUGCUAAACCCAAGGAACUUCUUAUAUUGGAUAAUGAGGUAGGUCUAUGCCAGUUCCUCACUACCUUUAUUAUCUGAAAAUCCACCUUCAAGCCUUCGCCUGAGAUGACAUGGCCCAAAAACGCUACUUAUUUCAACCAGAAUUUACACUUAUGAAAUUUUGCAUAUAGCUUGUGAUCCUACAGUGUCUGCAACAAGAUUCUAAGAUGUUCUACAUGGUCAUUCUAGCUACGGGAAUAAAUCAAGAUGUCGUCAAUAAACACAAUAACGAAAAAAAUCAAGAUAAGGUUUGAAGGCCUUAUUCAUAAGGUCAAUGAAAGUUGUUGGUGCAUUCGUUAAACCAAAUGACAUUACCAAAAAUGUGAAAUGUGCAUAGCGAGUCCUAAAGGCUGUUUUUUGAACAUCAACUAUCUUAACCCUCAACUAAUUGUACCUUGAUAUAAGGUCAAUCUUGGAAUAACAUUGGGCACCCCAAAGUUGAUCGAAUAAAUCAUCUAUUCUAGGAAGAGGGUACUUGUUCUUGAUGGUGACUUUAUUCAACUGACGAUAGUCAAUGCACAUGUGCAAAGACCCAUCCUUCUUUCUGAAGAACAAGACCGGUCCGCCCCAAGGUGAGACACUUGGCCCUAUAAAUCCCUUAUCUAGAAGAUCUUUCAAAUGGAAUUUUAGCUCUUUCAAAUGGAAUUUUAGCUCUUUCAACUCUACUAGAGCCAUCCUAUAAGGCGGAAUAGAUAUCGGCUUAGUGUCGGGGAGUAGAUCAAUUCCAAAGUCAAUCUCUCUAUCAUGAGGGACUUCAGGAAGAUCUUCGGGAAGCACUUCUAGGAACUCAUUUACAAUUGGUACUGACUAGAGUGUGGGAAUCUGAGCAUCUGCAUCCCUAACUCGAACCAGGUAAAAGAUAUACCCUUUAGAGAUUAUAUAUCUGGGUUUAUGAUAGGAAAUAAACCUACCCCUAGGUGCUAUCACAUCACCCUUCCAUUUUGGUUUUAUAACCCACUGUGGCAUAACAAGACUCUAACCAAUCCUUGCCCAUGAUUACAUCGAAGUCUACCAUCUCCAAUUCUACUAAGUUUGCUAUAGUAAGGCGAUGAUAUAUUUUGACUGGACAUCCCCUAUAGAUAUGUCUAGCAAUAACUGAUUCUCCAACUAGAGUGGACACUUCAAAGGGUUCACACAACUUUUCCGGUUCUAUAACAAAUUUCAUAGAAAUAUGGGGUUACAUAAGAUAAGGUGGAUCCCGGAUCCAUAAGAGCAUAAACAUCAAAGGUGAAAACCGUUAGCAUACCUAUGACAACAUCUGCACAAGACUCUGUAUCCUAACAGCCUGCCAGUGCAUAAAAGCUAUUCCAACCACCGCCCGUAUUACCGGACUUUGCUUCACCACGCCCUUGUUGGGCCUGAGAGUUAUGAGGGGCUAUUGAAUUAGUGGACUGCGCUACAUAGCCUCCAUUAUUCUACCUUAGUGAUAGACAUUCCCUCAAGAAGUGGCCCUGCUGACUACCCCCACAGCAACCAUUUGUGCCCGAACGAUACACCACUGGGUGCCUCUUACCACAGUGCAAAUAGGGUAACCAGGGACUCUGUAGCCCAUACUAGCUUGUGACUGUGAGUCUACUGCUCAGAAAUUCUGGUUUUUCUUGUUAUACUUGGACCUUUUAACUGAUGUACAAGCUAAAGAGGCAGUAGGUCCUGAUAUUGGUUUCCUGAAGAAGUGGCGAUUACCACCUCCUUGAGAUUAACCAUGGCAGAAAUUUCCUGCAGACUUAGCUCUCUUACUGAAUUCCAUGUCCUUCUCUCUAUGUAGCCGCUCUUCUUCCUUCAUCCUCUCUUUGUUCCCUUGAACAAAUGCAACUCUUAGUAAUGGUCAUGUCGUUGUUCUGAGUAGCUAUAUUAGCAUCAGCAAACAAGUCAUCUGAAAGCCCCAACACAAACCGCCUAACUCUGGACCUCAUAUCACAAACCAUUUCCGGAGCAUACUUGGCCACAACGACAAACUUGAGGUAGUACUCGUUCACACUCAUCUCAUUCUGUUUGAGUCUCUCUAACUAUAAAGCCUUAUCUUCCAAGACCUCAAUGGGUAGAAAAUGCUCAAGAAAUACGUCUGCAAACUCCUUACAAGUCACAGGAGUCGCAUCCUCCCUCGAAACUCCUCCCAUGUUUCAUACCAAGUGUUAGCAACAUUCUUCAGCAUGUAUGCAGCAAGCUCUACUGCCUUAGUGUCUGUAGCAUGCAUCACUCGAAAUAUAUUCUUAACAUCAUUAAUGAAGUUUUGCGGAUCCUCAACCUUUUUAGACACUGUGAAUAUUGGAGGUUUCAUGUUGAGGAAUUCCUUGGACAUGGAACUACCUGUCUCAUCAACAACACUUGUUCCCUGCCUUUGAGCCUCAGUACAAAUAAUCUGGGUGAGCAACUGGAUAGCUCCCCUGACAUCUAUGUCUUAUGAACUAGGCACUGAGCCUGAUGCAACUCCCUGAGCUGGAGUGUCCUCCUCCUGAGCAGCAUUAGCCGUAGCCCCUAGUUAGUAGUUGAGGCCCUCUUGGUGUACUUUCAUUUUUGCAGACUUUUUUCUAAAAUACGUAAUUCGCACAAGUUAGAAGGAUUCCAGAAAGCAUAGCUCUAACUACACGGUCUAGAGUAUGAAAGAAAUGAAACAUUUCUAGAUGUCUUGGUGGUCAAAUGUUUACACGUGUGGCGCUCUCACACACAUAAAGGUGUCCCCACUGGACACAGCUUCAUAGAUUCACUAGGACUCUUGAACCUAGACUCUAUUACCAAGCUUUGUCACGCCUCGAACCAGGGCCCGAGCGUAGCACGACAUUCGGUGCCUGAUUGCAUGUGAUUGAGCGAACCAACUGCAUGAUGGAUCAACAUGUGGUAUAAUUGUAAGAUGAAUAUAAAUAUGAAACAUACUGAUUUACUAAAGAGUCUAACUCAAUUAUCAUAAAUGCGGAAAGUACUGAAAAGUCUACAAGUAUAAACGAGUAGCCACCAAGGCUAAUACAUAAAAGCCUUCUUACAUCUGACUGACUGGACUAUAGUCUACAAAGCCUCUAAAGAAUACUGAAAUGCUAACUAUUUAACGAGACAAGGUCACUGGCAUACCUUACUAACUGAAAUACUAUAAAGAAUGAAAAAUUGGGAUAAUGCCCCGAAAGACUGGGGCUCACCAAUAGCUGAUACGAGAUGUCCUAGCAAGCUGAAUCGUCAACCUAUAAAUCGUUACCUGGAAUGCGAGAUGCAGGCCUUAGGAAAAAGGGACGUCAGUACAUUUAUAUUGCACUAGUAUGUAAAACAACUAAAAGAAAGAACUAUAAAUAAGUAAAGAUAUGAAUACUCCCUCUUCUGAAUUGUGAGUCACUUGUUUAUCUGAAUAAAUAAACUACGGCCUCAGGCCCAAAAACAGAUGUUCAACGUCAUGAUCUAAAAUUAGGAACUGAGAAUCAUGUUGCAAUACAUGAUACUAAAAUAUUGAAUCAUACUGGGUUACAUGAUACUGGAAUGCUAAAUAGGACUAGACAGGGAAUUGUAUUCACAAUAAAAUGAUUUUUCAUAACUGAGACUUAUCGGAUAUAGAACGAAUUAUGAACCCAUGUCUGCUAGAUAAUAGAAGUUCUACAACUAUUCAUGGAACUAAGGCAUAAUUACUUUCAGAGGAAUUUCGUAAUAGUCAUAAGAAUGAGACGGUGGGAGAAUCAUAAGCAUUCCAAAACAUAGAGAGUUGGCCAUACAUUACACUGUCCCUUUUAAGCAUAUCACAAAAUUCGUCGCCUCUUUCCACGAUAAUCUAUGGCGAUAUAUGUCAAGAGAACUAAUAUUAGCACUAAGGCUCAUGUGUUGGUAACCUAGGAAUUUUAUCAAACACCUUAUGGGCGUAAAGCCUCGUAUGCCUAAUUAAUGGUGUUUCUCACCCAACAUCCCAUUCUCUUGCUCCUAGAUAAAUUCUAAAAUCUUAAAUUGUUAUAAUCAAUAUCAUUCUUCAUCAUCCAUAAGAUAAACAACACCCUUAACCAAUAAUCAACAGUCAAAAUUGUCAUGCCCCGACCUCGGGGAGCGCGACCGGCGCUCAAACGAGAAAACCUAGCCGAGCAAGCCUACUAGAUGCCUUCUACCCAACCUUUCCCAUUAACAAUAUAACAAUCAAUACAAGUGAUAAACAUGAGAAGAGUCAAGUGUUCCACAUUCUUUUUCCAUUACUCAAAGGAUAUUCAUUUACGAUUUCCAAAAUAUUACAAGUUUAUAGAUUUGAUGCGAAACCGGUUUGCCAAAUACCAACACUUUGAGUUCCAUUCCCAAUAUCAAACACUACCCACAACCUAUCUACGAAGCCUCUAAGUAAAACAGAAGUGAAGAAUCGAAGUGCCGGCGACAAGUCCCCAGCUAUACCUCAAAGCACAAUAUACAACGUUAAAUGACAUAAAGCACGGAAUAUAGUACGGCUCACCAAAACCUGUUGAAUAAGGAGUAACUGCUAUCUAGGAUCAAGACCGCUCACUGAUGAACAACUUGCAUCCAUUGCAGAUGCAGCACCCCCGACAAAAGAGAUGUUAGUACAUGUGGAAUAGUACUAGCAUGUAUAGGUAAAUGCCCCCUUUCGAAAUAGAAUGCCAAUAUAAGAAGGGGAAAACUAUGGAGAUGCAGCACCCCCGACAAAAGAGACGUUGGGAGAUCAUUAGCUGUGAUAUACCACCGUGAUUUUAGCAGGGAGUCCGAUCACUGCCCGAUCAGCUAGGCCGUCUCACCCAAAGACAUCAACCAUAAUCACAAUCAUUAUCUAUAUAUCAAUCAUUGUUUCAAUUAUAAUCUUAAACGCAAUCACCACCAUGUGUCCGGCAUGGCGUCCGAUCACGACCCGACCGGCUUGGCCGUCUCACCACAAUGUCGUAUGGAUCCACAUCACCAUUUUCUAGAAAUCAUCUCAUCCUAAUAAAGGAGAAUAUUUUCAUCAGAUCAAUUCCAUCCCAAUAAAGCGGUACAAUCACAAUUCACUCCUACACCGACACGUGUAGUUUCGGGGUUAGGUUAUUCCAACCUACCCUUCCUCAACGACUAACAAUACUCCCAAAAAUAUUUUUGUUUUGCACAAAAGGGAAACAAAAGUACAAAUAUAUUUUAUAUUCACCUCAUAACCGUUCACACAAUAAAUAGCUUCAUUAGUACUUUCAACCAUUCACAAUACCAUUAUUUCAUUGGCUCUCUUGGCCAUACUUAUGAUUCAUCAUUCAUGGCACGUUGGCCGUAUUUCGUAUUCCACAUUUUUCAUUCUUUGACUUUCCAUGAUCAUCAUCACAAACAUCAACACAUAGAAUAUUUCAGAAAUCAUAAUUUUAAGUUCAUCAGUAGUGGAGUCUUUAAACACAUUAGACCCUUUUCCAAAACAUGAAGCACAAUGACUUGUAAUCACAUUACGAGUUAAAAAUCAUAAACGAGUGAAACAUCAUAUUUUUUAAAUACUUCUUCACAAAAGGCAAUACACAAUUUCAACUCUUGAGUACGUAAGAGCUCAAAUCACAGUGAAAAUAUUUAUAAAGGAGAGCAUGGUUAUUUACAAUUUACACACGACUUCAAACCAAAUGCACUAGUUACAACAACCAAGUCCACGUUUUAUAUCUCACUCUUAGUUCUUUCACUUUUAAGCAUAUUUAUGGAUCAUCAUCAAAAAGAGAAUUUGGGAUCAAGGCCUUAAGCAUAAAUAUGAACAAUAGGGGCCUUAGGCGUAUGGAGUUUUCUUUCACAAAUGGGCAUAACAACUUGCAAUUUACACAUGAUUUGAAAUCAUACUAACUCGACAUAUUCAAAACACUAGGAUACAUUCCCGAUGGAGAACACAAAAUGAUAGGAGAAUUUGGUGCACCUUGUUUAGUAUAUAUCUUUCAACAUAAGCUUAUUCAGAAUAGUCAAAUAUAUAAGGAAUAACUAAGAACAUGGGAAUUAGCAACUUGGGUCAACCAUCCUUGAAACUUACGAGAAUAUCAUGGAAUUCAAUUUCAAGAGAGAAGUUUAGCCAUCAUACCUUUCUUGAGCUUUUCUUAAGUCACUACAAUGUCCCAACAUCCUAGCAAUAACAAUCUAUAGGAAAAUAGCAAGAAAUUGGAUAAUAAUUAGAAGGAUUCCCAUGGUGUAACUCUCUUAGUAAUUUUGUCAAACACCUACUAUGCGAAAUAGACUACAAAGUUCCACAAUGGUAACCCCUUCCUCCAUCAACCAAUUCCAACAAGAAACUUAACCAAAAUGGUUUAUUAACCCCACAUACUACAACUUAUUGUCACAUGCAUGUCCUAUUUCCAACCCCACAAUAUACUUGAACUCAUAACCUCUUGCAUGAAAGCUUAGGAGUAGGACUUACCCGGAUAGAUGAUAAUCUAGUGAAUGACUUCCUUGAUUCUUGAAGAUUGGUGCAAGAAUAUGUGAUUGGAAUGCUAUAGUUCCUCCUUCUCUCUCUAAAAUACUCUUACCUCUCUCUAAAAUCAUCAGAGAUUCGUUUCAAAAUGAGCUCCUAAGGAUAUUUAUCAAAAUGGGGCCGGGUUAUAAAAAUAGGAAAAUGGACCCUCUGAACUCAGGUCUGCGAUCGAAGAAUAGACCACAGAACAGAUAUGCAGCCUGCAAAAUGGACCGCGAAAAUGAUGCCCAGAAAUGGGCCGAUCUGCGAUAGCUUUGCGGUCCGCAGACCACUUAUGUGGCUGCAGAGUGGACCACAAAAUCACUCUCCAAAAUAUUUCAUGCCAGAUGUGCAACGGAUGUGAGGAACGUGAAACAACUAUGCGAUCGCAUAAUGGACCGCAGAACAACCUUCAAAAUUCAACAAAUUCUCUGCUCAACUCUGCGAUGAUUAUGCGGCAAGCAAAAUGGUUCUGCGGUCGCAAAACUGACCACAGAAUCGCCUUCUUCCGCAAAAACAUUCCAUCAACUCCUCGGUGCAUUCUUCAAUCCAAAAAAGUAUGUACUGCGACUUUCUACAAUCCUCAAACACAUAAGCCUAGCUCGGCACCACAAAACCUCAAAUUCCUUGGAAAAGUUUAUGGGGCCUUACGUCCUCCCCCGCUUAGGAUCAUUCAUCCUCGAAUGAGGAGUAGAGUAUACCCAAAUCACCCAACAUAAUUCAUCUCUUCCUUCACACAUCGCAAUCCUCCAAAUUUGACUAACUCCCAAAUUUUCCAAAAAUUUUGGCAGAGUCUCCUCUGUAAUUGGACCUAACCACCUUCCAAAGUAACACUAAAACCACCCUAACAACACAUCCAUAUAUAAACAAAGUAUCACAAUAUAUGUUAAUAACACCGAUCUCAACAUUAAGGGCAUUACAUUAACAGAAGUGGUAUUUGGACAUGAACUGCAUAUUUUUUAAAUCGUAACACCCAGAAAGUACCUUUUGAACCACAGUCAUUUGGAUAUACAAACAAGUGAGAAUAUUUUAUUUCCACUACACUCUCGGCCAUCAAGGCAACCUCCUCGACUCACAGACUUAGCCAUAGCACUUGACGGAGGCAAUCUCAACUUCCGGGCUUAUCUAACAAGGAUGACAAUAGGGUACCUCUCAUAAGCCAAUUACCCAUUAACUUUACCUUCAAUAGCUUCGACAAGAACGAUAGUCAAAGGACUCCCAACUACCUUCUUUGACGUAGACACAUGAAGAAUCGGGUGCAUGGAGAACAACGAUGGGGGACAUCCUACGCUUAGCUCGGCCUAUGUGCCUCAAGAUUCUAUAAGUCCCAAUGUGUACCACUCCUACUUUACCUUUAUUAACAAUUCACAUAAUAUCUUGAUGGAGAUAAUAUGGAGAAUAACCCGUUCACUUUCUUCAACUCUAAAUUUCAAUGAUGAACACCCGAAGUGGACCCUUGGCGACCUUCAACCCCCAUCUCCUUCUUAUACUAUGGUGUGACUGAAUUAAUAUGACCAUAGAGUUCAUACCCAAUAUCUUCGAUUAUGGAGUGAUGCUUAUUUUUUAUAAUGUGAGAAACUACAACUCUCUAGAGAUGUACUACAAAUAGGAACAACGAGGUUCGAGUUUGAGCUAGAAUUGUUCAUUAAUCCACCAAGGUGCUAAGCAGGGCAUUUCAGGAGGUUAUAUUCUAAGAGACAUGCGGGUGACCACCAAUAGUGCUGACAUGGUUAAUCAUUGCGAUGACAUCAUAGAUUCAACAAACGAGGCAUAGAGUUACUAGUACACAUUAAUAAUGUGGGAACCAUGUACAUGAUCCUAAGUUGUAUAACAAGUGAGACAUUUUAGACAUGUGAUAUAUGAAAGGCAUGAUCGGGAGGAUAAAACAUUAGCAUCAAUUAUUCUGGGAAGAUGAUGAGUUAUGAAAGUGAUAGUAACAAUUGUUUCACUCCACAUGUGCCUUGUUCUGCAAUUGUAAGCCUUGAAGAGAAAUAGCCAAGUACGUGACACCAGUCGCCUCCUUGAGUGUAGGGAAAAUCAGUUUAGCUCAAAAUAAGAAGAUUCUUGUACCAUGAAUAUGAUAGAGAUAUAAAAUAUAUAUGAAGUUGCAUUACGCCCUCAAAAGUAACUGACACAAGGAAUCUAUGCCACAAGCCCACGAGGUUGAAAAAGAGGUUGAUCACUUGUGAGAUUAUUAUUAUUCUGGUAGCUUACCACUCUCCCAAUAGUUGAUCCUAUACCAGAGGACUAGAGAUACGGUUGGCUUAACCCUGAAACUAAAUAUGUUCAUGAUAAGGGCCUAACAAUAUGAAACAUUUAAUUUCAACCUUUCAUGGGUGAAACCAUGUAUCUAGGACAUCUUAAUAUUGGGAUUAAGGCAUGCAUAAUAUUAAGGAUAGUAAACACUCCGCACAUGACAAUGGCAUAGUAAAGGAUUCUAGAAGCCGAGUGUUUAGAGGUGACGCAACCCAUGAAGAUACAAUGAAGUAAUCAUGGAGGGUUUUGCGAAUGUUCAUAAUGAGUUCUCCAUGGAUUGUUUAUGACUUGAAAGUACUCAUAUGCUACCGGAGGAUGGGAAAACAUGUUAAGCAAAAAUGAUGCUAUGAUAACCCCAAAGGUGCAUUCAACUUAAUGGAGAUCCCCUUAAGAAUCCUAUGAGACAGGGAGUGUUACAGUGAUACAUAGAAGGACGCGAUCUCUCAUGGUUAUCCAACAAAUGUCAGGAAACUAGCACAAUGAAUUCACUAACUAAGGAAAACAGUUAAUACAUAUUGUAGAGGUGUAAAGAGAAAAUGAACAUUUGUUAUGAGCUCGACAUGUUUCUGCUAUAAUAACUCUCAAACUGCAGUAUCAGGCCACGUCAUGAGCAACUACAAUACUAGGAACAAAGUGAGUUACUUCAUGAGGUAUGAUCUAGGUGGAUUGAAAGUUAUACUAAGAUGGGCAGAUAUAAGAUCUUCCUAUGACGAACUUGUGUAAAUCCCAAAUUUCCGAGAAACUUGAUGCGGACAAGUGACCAUUUCAAUUCACAUGUACACAUAUGAUAGGUGUUUAGAUAUGCUCUUAUGUUACUAGACAGUGAAAAGGGUUUAUGAUAAUGCUCACAAAGGGAGUAAAGUGACUGUUCAAACCAUAUGAGUCACCUGCAUAGGAGAAAGAGAGUGGCUCAAGAAAGAUAUCGGCAUAAGGUUGCCUUACAUUAGAUUCGAUACCCUAUAGAUAAACAUUAUGAUAGUGCAUGCACAAGUACAAGUGAGCAGGUGUUAUCCAUUUGAAUUUGAAGGUUAUAUAAGAAAUUCAUCAGGUACAGUCUUUUGUUGAGGAUUUAGGAAAGCAAGUGGGAAGUAUUAACCUAGGGUUAUAACCCAAUUCAAGAAAAUCAUUAUAGAACUCAAUUCCUCAAGAGGUUUUAAAUAAGAGAAUUGUGAUAAAAAGGCUUCACGAAUAAUGUGUCUCGUUCAAAGAGUAGGUACAUGCAAUGUUUUGUGAUUCAGUUUCUUGUUAAGGCCAUAUUUAUGUAGGCUCUUCAAUAUAGAUGCACAUAUACAACAAGGAGAAUUAUGCGGUGUUCAUACAUGGUGAUGUACUAAGGAGUGACUUACUUGGUGACUUUAGGUUGACCGGAAAGUGCCUUAAAGCACGCCCCUCGACUCCACAUCUAUAACAUACAUUAGUACCAUAGUGACAUACCUCUGAAUGACAUCUCCUAUACUUCACGCAACGAGUAUGAGGUCCACUAAACUGACUCGCCCCGCUAACAUGAUAUUUACCCUUAUCCUUCCUCCAAGACCCCAUGAUGGGAUUAACAAUCUCUGUACCAGCUUUUUGUAUGAGCUUAUGGGAUUUCCCAAGCCUACCACCCCUAACACGCUCCUGAGCAUACUCGCAACACGACGUCAAAUGUUCCUUCCCUUAUAUCCGGUGGACCAGGAUGGGUGUACCUAACCUAGGGCAUUUGUUCUUCUUGUGCCCCCUUUUUCCACAUCCAUAACCUAUUUUAAGAGACAUCCAACAUCUCCCCAAGUGACGCUUCUUACAAAUCAAAUAAUCUAGUCAUAGGUACCAACAACUCUCUUUCGUUUCUUAGGUCCUCUCACCAUAUGAUCCGGUGGUGCGGUGACAUUGAUAGGAACAAGGACACUUCCCUUGGAAACAAGUUCUUCCGAUCCCUCCACGGCUCGACACAUUAUCCCAACGAACUCUAGUGCAAUCACUCUGAAAUUCAAUGGCGAGGUCAUACCCUCCUAGUUGCUUCGAACUCGUGGAUUACUCAUCUGGUAAAUGAGACAUGGCGAGGAAAUUAAAUUCCUAUAUUGAGCUCUAUCACACGAUCUGGAGUAUCAAAGAAGGGUGAAAUUCCAAAAUGUCCAAGUAGCCUCCUAAUUAUAAAAGUGGUCGACAACACACCGAUAAGAAGGACUCUACUACACACGGCUCCGAAACAUCCUAGGACACCUUAAAACCUUACGCUCAGAUACCAAGUUUGUCACGCCUUGACCUCGGGGAGCACGACCGACGCUCAAUCGAGAUAAUUUGGUCGUGCAAGCCUGCUAGAUGCCUUCGACCUAACCUUGCCCAUUAACAAUAUAAGAAUCAGUACAAGUGAUAGAUCUGAGAAGAUUCAAGUGUUCCACAUUUCUUUUCCAUUACUCAAAUGAUAUUCAUUUACGAUUUCCAAAAUAUUACAAGUUUCUAGAUAUGAUGAAAAAUAGAUUUGCCAAAUACCAACACUUCUAGUUCCAUUCCCAACACAAGACACCACCCACAACCUGUCUACGGAGGCUCUAAGUACAAUAGAAGUGAAGAAUGAAAGUGCCGGCGACAAGGCCCCGGCUAUACCUCAAAGCACAAUAUACAACGUUAAAUGACAUAAAGCCCGGAACAGAGUAGGGCUCACCAAAACCUACUGAAUAGGGAGUAACUGCUAUCGAGGAUCAAGACCGCUCAAUGAUGAACCACAUGCAUCCGUUGAAGAUGCAGCGCUCCCGGCAAAAGGGACGUUAGUACAUGUGGAAUAGUACUAGUAUAUAUAGCUUAAUGUCCCAUUUCAAAAUAGAACGCCAAUAAAAGAAGGGGGGAAACUAUAGAAACAACAAGUAACAAUCAACAGCAUCCAAAUGCCAAGUUUAAAACUAAACAAUUUUCAAAAUACGGAUAUAAUAUAUAUAUUUUUGGUUGGGAGAUCAUUAGCACCGACAUACCACCGUGAUUUUAGCACAGAGUUUGAUCACAGCCCGAUCGGCUAGACCGUCUCACCUAAAGACAUCAACCAGAAUCACAAUCAUUAACUCAAUCUUAAUCAUUAUCUUUAUUAUUCUGCCUUGCUGAUGGAUAAUACCUCAAGAAAUGGCUCUGCUGACUGCACCCAAAGCAACCAUUUAUGCCUAAAUGACACACCCCUAGGUGCCUUUUACCACACAUGUUGCAAAUAGGGUAAUCAGGGACUUUGUAGCCCACACUAGCCUGUGACUGUGAGUCUGCGGCUCUGAUAUUCCGUUUAUUUUCGCUAAACAUGGACCACUGAACUGGUGCAGUAGUUGAAGAUGGAGCAAGUCCUGAUUUUGGUUUCCUGAAGAACUGGCAAUUACUAAAUCCUUGAGAUCCCCCCAUCGCUGAAAUUUCCUGCAGUCUUAGCUCUCUUGCUGAAUUCCCUGUCGUUCUCUCUCUUUAGCCGCUCUUCUUCCUUCAGCCAGUAUUUUUCCCUUGAACAAGGGCAACCAUAUUAGUAAUGGUCAUGUCAUUGUUCUGAGCAGCUACAUUAGCAUCAGUAAACAAGUCAUCUGAAGGCCCCAACGUAAACCGCCUAACUCUGGCUCUCAUAUCACGUACUAUUUCCUGAGCAUACCUGGCAAGAGAGACGAACUUGAGGUAGUACUCGUUCACACUCAUCUCAUUUUGUUUGAGUCUCUAAAACACUAAAGCCUUAGCUUUCAAGACCUCAAUAAGUAGAUAUGCUCAAGAAAUGCAUUUGCAAACUCCUUCCUAGUCACACCUGUCGCAUCCUCCCCUCGGGACUCUUCCAAUGUUUCAUACCAAGUGUUAGCAACAUCCUUCAGCUGGUACGCAGCAAGCUCUGCUGCCUCAGUGUUUGUAGCAUGCAUCUCUUGAAAUAUAUUCUGAACAUCAUUAUUGAAGUUUUGUGGAUCCCCAACCUUUUUGGAAACUGUGAAAACUGUAGGUUUGAUGUUGAGGAAUUCCCUAGACCUGGAACUACCCAUCUCAUCAACAGCACGUGUUCCCUGCCUUUGAGCCUGAAUAGCAACAAUCUAGGUGAGCAACUAGAUAGCUCCCCUGACAUCAAUGUCUGAAGCACUGGGCACUGCGCCCGAUGCAACUUCCUGGGUAGGAGUGUCAUUAGUCGUAGCCCCUUGGCUAGUAUUUGAGGCCCUCUUAGUGUACGUUCUUUUUGCAUGCAUUUUUCUGAAAUACAUAAUUUGCAUUAGUUAGAAGGAUUCAAGAAAACAUAAUCUCUAACUACAUGAUGUAGAGUAUGAAAGAAAUGAAACAAUCCUAGAUGCCUUGGUGGUCAACUGUUUACAUAUGUGGCACACUCACACACAUAAAAGUGACCCCAUUAGACACGGAUUCAUAGACUCCCUAGGACUCUUGAACCUAGGCUCUUAUACCAAGCUUUGUCACGCCCCGAAUCAUCACUUGGGCAUAACACGUCACUUGGUGCCUGACUGAAUAUGACCGAGCGAACUAACUAGAUGGCUGGAUCAACAAGUGGUAUAAUUUUAUGCUGAAUAUAAACAUGCAACAUGCUGAUUUACUAAAGAGUCUGACUGAAAUAUCAUAAGUGCAGAAAGUACUCAAAAUUAUGAAGGAAGAAAACUAACUACCUUGUUAUCCAUAUCCAUGUAAAUACCAAAUUGGAAAAAAUAUGAAGGAAAAACAAACGAAGAUUAAGACUCACUAACAGUUGUAGCAGCGAUGAAGAGAGGAAUGAAGAUAGUGAAAAUACAAAAUCAAUAUCACAUAAAUAGUGCUAGAAAUAAGAGAGAAAAAUUAAAGCACAAAAGCCAGAGAAGAAGAUGCUCACAAAAAAACACAUAUAGGAGGCGACGUAGGCAGAAUUAAGUGGAAUUUGUCAUUAUUAAGGGUUAGGCAAGAGUUUUAAUUUAAUAGUGAUGACUGAUGACCAUUGGACUUAUUUUAUGUCUAUAAAUAUUGAUUAUAGUUUACUGAUAAGGAGUUUAGAGUACGUUAGAUUUUCAUUGUAACCUCAGAUAUUAAUAUUGGAUAGAUCCUGUUACUUCUCAUUUUCAUUUGACUAUACAAAGUUCUUGCUAUAUUAGUAUUAUUAACUUAAAAGCCUCAUUAACUUCGAUUGUUUCUUGGUGAUGUUUAAAUGAAUCUUCCGCUUAUCCAAUCUUCUUCUUAAAGUUUGAAUAUGUUAUGUUCAAUUUGUCAUUUUGUUGAUAGGUUGGAUUAUCCUCUUGCCUAAGUAUUUCGCACAUGACUAAGUCUGAAUGUAUCAUUGCUUUGGCUUAAGAUUUUGUUUCGGUCGCAAUUACAUUUGAUCUUUUGUUAGGUAAUUUAGCAAAUAGUAGUUCUUCCUUUUUCCAUGGCUAAGUUUCCUUUCACACGGUUUUUGACUUGUAUAAGCUUAUUUGCAUUGUAAUGACCUUCAGUUUUAAGAUUGUGUCCAUUAUUUCAUAAAAAACUUAUAAAGGUUGUCUGACACAAAUUACAUCCCGAUAAAGGUAUGAAAAUGAUGUUAAAUCAUGUAUUUUCUUGGGUCUUAUAUAGCGGUUCCAUAUAAGUUAAAAUUUACAACACUCUUUUCUAAUGAAAUACAGAAAAUCUAUAUGCUUUGUAUAUGCUGUAUAAUUUUAAACUAGAAGGACACCAGACAUUUACAGGACUCUAUUGAGAAAUGAGGCUGGUAAUGUGAAGUGAUUAAGUUUCCGCUUUGAGGAAAGCUCUUCUCAACCUCAACGGGUUUCACUUUUCAGGAUAAGGAUAUGUGAUGUAUCUUAAGAAUGGAUUGGUGGACUUUAAAACCUUUAGAUGGCAUCACUUGACAAUUAUGUGAAGUUCAUAGCAAAAAGUUUGGAAAAUGAAAUGUGUGCCUAAAUAAGAUAUGGAGGGAGACUGUAUAUUUGUGAGCUUAUACAAACGUAUGUGGGCUUAUUGUUAAACAUAGUCAUAAUUUUUUCAGUCUAUCUGUCUAUUUAUUAAAUAAAUAUCAUUUCUUUUAAUUUAAUCAAUAUGUAUGGUCUUGGAUCAUUAAUAAUAAUACAUUGCCAUUUUCACGACUUAAACUACUUAUUUGAUAUAUUUAAACUACUUCUCAAUUUGUAUUUAACUUAAAAAAUGACUGUGAUGGAGGAACUGUUCAAUAAGGCUGAAUGCCUUUUUGACCUCUGUUUAUACUUUAUAAUAUGGUGGGAUUUAUCAUGAGAAGGUGCAUUUAUGGAUUUUUUUGGUCAAGAUUUAUGGAGAUUAAAGAUAUAUAAAUGCAGAAGGAAAAUGCAUCACCCAUUACAUGCAUUUAAUAGCUUUAAAGAUUUAAUGUAAAUGGAACGUUUCAUAGUAAUCUCAUUCUUUGUUAAAAUGCUCAUAUUUCCUAUUGCCAAGGCUAAAUACUCCGUAUUGAGGAUAUUAACCAAUUCAUUUUUUUUCCAAAGAUAACUUAAUACUAUAAGAUUAAAUAUUCUUCCUUAAGUAUUGUCUAUGAAGAAUGAAAAGACAUCUCCUUUGGCAGGCGUGGACCUACAUAACGGCAAUGAGGAUUAUUGUAAGGCAGGGUACUUAGGACCAUAUUUUAAUAGGUUGCCUAGAAGUAGGAACAUUUGCAUGCCCUCAUACAUAGAUUGUGUCAUGUACGGUGCUUGAAGGACCAAAAUUGCACUCAUAGAUAACAUUGAAAAAAAAUUGUGAUUUUAUCAAUUUAUAGAAAUUAUUUAUGUUUGGCUACUUAUGAUAUUUUUAUCUUUCCUAUUUUAGCUAAAUUCAUUAAAACACAAUUUAAUAAUAUUUUUAAUGUGGUCCAAUUAAAAUUUUCAUCUCCAAAAGUGAAAUUGUUAGUAGUUCCCUUCAAUUUAAAAUAGCUGUACUUUGCUUUUUACUUAUUAAUAUUUGCCAUAUGUUCCUAACGUGGUUGCAACUUGCAACAUCAAAAAACAGAGAAGUAACGCCCUUUCAUUUUGAUAGAGCACCAUUCUCAUUCAAGUUUUUACCCUCCAAUGUUUCAUUCCUUUUGGACAUAUCAAAUCUAUAUGAGGAGAGAUCUCAAACGAACAAAAAAUAGUCGCAGUUUGAAGUGAUUGUGAUAACGACAGACGGUAGACAUGCAGUGGUAAUGGUUUCUCCCCACAAAGAUUUGUGUAUAUUCGUGGAUUUUACAUGUAUGUCAUAAUAAGAUUUCUAUAUUUCAUGAAUAGAAAAAAAAUACGUAUUCACUUUAAUUUUUUUUAUAUAUAAAGAUAAAAAAGUGUGUACCCGUGUCAAGCAACUAAAAGAGUAAAUUGUGAAUAGCUUAUGCCAAGAAAAUAAAAAGAAAUUUCUCUUCUUUAUCUUUCUCCUUUCUUUUGUGAAACCCAACAUGAUAUAAAAUAACAAGGUAAACAAUUAGGUAUAUAUAACCUAUUUUUAUUAUUUUUAAUAUUCGAAUAUUAGAAGAUCAUUUCAUAAAGAAGUUUUUCUUAAACCGCGCGAAGUGCGGCAAGUUCACUAGUUAAAUUAUAGAUUUGUAUAAAUUGACGAUCUUAAAUUAACUUAACAUUGUAAGUCUAUCACUCUGUAAGGAUCCCAUCACCUCACGAAGAAUUAACAAUCUAAUUCAAAUAUUUCAGGCCCCCUCUUUAGUUCUUCUUUUUCUUAAUUCUAUUGCGCUUCUUGAUUUUUAACCUUUAGCACUGUUAUUUCAAAGCUGGAAAAUCAUCUGAAGUUGUGCACAAGACAAUUUGGUAAAAGAUCUCCUCAUGCUUAUGCAUAAGGCCUUCUAAUGAAUAUAUGGCUGAUUAGCUCUUCUGUCUAGCACUACCUUUUUCUCUUUUCACUUUUAUCCUGACCUACAGAUCAAGAUAAUCUUUAUAUUUUGUAUUACAAUCAGUGGCGUACGUCGGAUUUUGCACAAAAGCAUUAAUAUGGUCUAUUAUCACAAUUUGGCUUGCGUUAUAAUUGAAAUUGAGUUAGAGAUUGUGAUAAUUUGAGUCUUUAGUUACUGUUACAAAUUGAUAUUUACUUUGUAAUAUUCUCAUGCGACGUCAACCUAUUAUUUACAUACAUCCAUACAUAUUUAUUUUUUGAGAAAAUAUUAUUUAUGCACAUAUAAAAGAAAAAUUUUAGCAAAGUGGUGUUGCAUGACACCCCUGAUAUCCUCCACUUGUUGAGAUCCAAUUCCAAAAGACUACGUAUCUCUUACGAUUUGAAAAUCAAGUCGGAGACCACCACACAUAUACAUGAAAUACCUCAACAAGUAGUGGACAUGGAAGAGAUUGUUUUGCAAAUGCCAUUCGUUUUCCAAGCUAUAAAUAGGAUAAUUCGACCAUAUCUUGCAACGACUUGAGUUGGCUUUGACGUGUAUAGGCUCAUAUCUCAAAGCAAGGGUAAGUUCAAAACACUCCUUCACUACCAAUAUGGUUGUUCUAAUGAGUGCCAGCAAGAAGAAGGUAUCAAUUGGUUUCCCCAAGGUUUUGGCUACGGAAGCUAAGUUGGGAUCGAUAAUAUGUAUCUACAGAGGAUGUGAAGGCGAUGACAAUGACGAUGAUGAUGAUGAUGCUUCAAAGGUGGCACCAGCUGCAUGAUAUUAUAAUAGUAUUUCCUACAACAACACAUAGUAAUACAUAUAGCUAGCUAGGUUCCCAUGUUUCUUUGCUGCAGAUGUUGCUCUAAAGUGAAUUAACAAUGUUGACAUCUAAAAGAGAGAGACAUGUAGUGAAGUGAGUUACGUCUGUAGAGAAGGAAGAGAGCAAUGCAUGAGAGAUAUCUUCUUGUUUUCAACUUACAGUA
rnacentral:lncRNA from 1 species